rnacentral:pre_miRNA from 1 species
AUACCGAUGAGCUCACAGAUCUAUUAUGCCAUGCUUUAAAGAUCUAUGAUUUCGUCGGUGUGA